rnacentral:rRNA from 1 species
AAUCGCGGAUCAGCAUGCCGCGGUGAAUACGUUCCCGGGCCUUGUACACACCGCCCGUCACGCCAUGGGAGCCGGUAAUACCCGAAGUCAGUAGUCCAACCUCGUGAGGACGCUGCCGAAGGUAGGAUUGGCGACUGGGGUGAAGUCGUAACAAGGUAUC